GUCCCUGUAGCGCAAUGGAUAGCGCGUUGGAUUUCUAAUCCAAUGCGAUUCUCACCUGGGAUG
rnacentral:tRNA from 1 species